AGAUGCCUCUCUUGGUUCCCACUGCCCUGCUGGUCUUGAGGCAGGUUGAGGGGGGAGUCACAGGCCAUCCCUGCAAGGAAAAGCAGAGAGGGCAAUUUGGGAAGGUGACAGAGGACCCUGUGGGACGUCGAGUCACAGCCUUGCUGGGCACAGUGACUGGCGUGCAUAGUGAGCUGCUUUCCCAAGCACUGCCACCCCUGGCUCUCAGAUAUGCUGCUGAAAGGGGUGACGGGCAGUGGGGGGCUUGGGACUCCGCCGAGGUGUCCUAGCUCCCAUCCCUAUCCCCAGGCCCAGGCCCAGGCCCCUCCAGCAUGAAAGGCUAGGGACCGCACUGCCAUGGGGUUUGCCAGGCCCCUGUCUCUUGGGAAGCCACCCCUCCCAGGGAAAAGCAGGGCUGAGGGCUGUUCAGGCUCUGCCACCACCUGCUCUGUGACUUCGGGCAGGCCACCAAUUCUUCUGAAAAACGGGAGUCACUGUGGGCACCAUCACGCCCGGGUACAGGACGCCCAGUGGCUCAGCUGCCCCAGCCAGGCUGCCCUGUCCUGGCCUCAGCACACCUCCCACAGCCACUGCAGGCAGCCCUGGACCUUCUCCUGCUGAGGCCUUACUGCCAAUCCCUCUGGGAGACCAGACACAACAGGCAGCGGUCUGGGUGACUCCCAGGAACCUGUCCUCCCUAGUGGCUGAGGCAGUAGGCUUGGCAGCAGGGACUCAGUGCCCUAGGAGGCAGGGCUCAUCCCACAAGUUGCCAUGGUAGCCCCUCCUCCUGCCCCUUACUCAUCAGCCAGGCUGUACCGACACGGGCUGCCCAGGCAGGGGGUGGCUCGCUGGACAAAGCUGGCCGUGCAGGCGCUCAGGCGUGCAGGGUAGCCAGUGCCCCGGCCAGGAAUGGACAGCCUCCAGGACACAGUGGCCCUGGACCAUGGGGGCUGCUGCCCUGCCCUCAGCAGGCUGGUUCCCAGAGGCUUUGGGACUGAGAUGUGGACUCUCUUUGCCCUUUCUGGACCCCUGUUCCUGUUCCAGGUGCUGACUUUUAUGAUCUACAUCGUGAGCACUGUGUUCUGCGGGCACCUGGGCAAGGUGGAGCUGGCAUCGGUGACCCUCGCGGUGGCCUUUGUCAAUGUCUGCGGAGUUUCUGUAGGAGUUGGUUUGUCUUCGGCAUGUGACACCUUGAUGUCUCAGAGCUUCGGCAGCCCCAACAAGAAGCACGUGGGCGUGAUCCUGCAGCGGGGCGCGCUGGUCCUGCUCCUCUGCUGCCUCCCUUGCUGGGCGCUCUUCCUCAACACCCAGCACAUCCUGCUGCUCUUCCGGCAGGACCCGGACGUGUCCAGGUUGACCCAGGACUAUGUAAUGAUUUUCAUUCCAGGACUUCCGGUGAUUUUUCUUUACAAUCUGCUGGCAAAAUAUUUGCAAAAUCAGGUACAGGUCUUUGGUGUGUGGGGAGGCCCUUCUCCCAGCACACUGCCCUAUUCCAGUGGGAGGGGGGCCUGGGGCUUUCCCCUUCUCUCCACCAUCUGUGAACCAGCUCUUGAAAGGGGUCACUUCCAACCCACCUGCCAUAUCCUGACCUCCCGCACAGAGGCAGGUGAGAGGCUGUGCGUCCCAGCCUCUUCCAACUCCUCAACAGGGAUGGCUGAAGGGGCAGGAGGAGGAGUCCCCAUUCCAAACCCCGGGUUUGUCCAUCCUCCAUCCAUCUCACUCACACCUUAGCAGGGCCAGUUUUCAUUUAUUUCAGAAGAUCACCUGGCCCCAAGUCCUCAGUGGUGUGGUGGGCAACUGUGUCAACGGUGUGGCCAACUAUGCCCUGGUUUCUGUGCUGAACCUGGGGGUCAGGGGCUCCGCCUAUGCCAACAUCAUCUCCCAGUUUGCACAGACCGUCUUCCUCCUUCUCUACAUUGUGCUGAAGAAGCUGCACCUGGAGACGUGGGCAGGUUGGUCCAGCCAGUGCCUGCAGGACUGGGGCCCCUUCUUCUCCCUGGCUGUCCCCAGCAUGCUCAUGAUCUGUGUUGAGUGGUGGGCCUAUGAGAUCGGGAGCUUCCUCAUGGGGCUGCUCAGUGUGGUGGAUCUCUCUGCCCAGGCUGUCAUCUACGAGGUGGCCACUGUGACCUACAUGGUAAGGCUCCUGCAGGGGUGCCUUCCCCACAUCCCCCACCUGAUGGCUGGAGGUGUCAUAGGAGGGGGGCAGGCUGUCACCUGAAGCUAUCUCUGUCUCCCGAAGGACCCUCCCCGGGCCUCUCGUGCCCACCAGGUCCAGACCCUGCUCAGCUUACGCCAGGACUCACACACAGGUGCCCACAACCUGACGACCAAGGGUGAUAUUUCACUCACAGAUGUUGGAAUUUUAAAAAUUAAUUAGUAUCAUUUUAAAAUUGGGAGAUUUCACAUCACAAUCUUAUUUUUGGAUUUUCUUUAAAAAUGCACAUUCCAGGCUGGGCGCAGUGGCUCACGUGUGUAAUCCCAGUACUUUGGGAGGCUGAGGGCGGAUCACAAAGCCAGGAGUUCAAGACCAACCUGGGCAAUAUGGUGAAACCCCAUCUC
rnacentral:lncRNA from 1 species